UAAGGAAUAUUGGUCAAUGGACGCAAGUCUGAACCAGCCAUGCCGCGUGAAGGAUGAAGGUCCUCUGGAUUGUAAACCUCUUUUAUCUGGGACGAAAACGGGAUUUUUAUCUCAAUUGACGGUACCAGAGGAAUAAGCACCGGCUAACUCCGUGCCAGCAGCCGCGGUAAUACGGAGGGUGCAAGCGUUGAUCGGAAUUACUGGGCGUAAAGCGUGCGCAGGCGGUUUGUUAAGUCUGCUGUGAAAUCCCCGAGCUCAACUUGGGAACUGCAGUGGAUACUGGCAAGCUGGAGUACGGUAGAGGAAUGUGGAAUUCCCGGUGUAGCAGUGAAAUGCGUAGAGAUCAGGAGGAACACCAGUGGCGAAGGCGGCCUUCUGGACCAGUACUGACGCUCAUGCACGAAAGCG
rnacentral:rRNA from 1 species